rnacentral:lncRNA from 1 species
AUAUACCUCUUCCUCGACGGAUGAUAUCUCAUCUAUGACAUGUACUUCAUUCACCUAGACAGCUAUGUGUGCUUAGAACGCUAAGUUAUCUGCUUAAGCAUCGUCUAAAAAGUGUAAACACUAUGAAGGAAAUGAAACCCGCCAGUUCUGCUUAACACUUUUCAUAUACUGAUAUAAUAAGCCCAGAAUUUACUAAAAGCAGAAACCGAGAAAUAUGCUACCGGUGACUGCAUCAGCUCACUUCAAACUAUUGAUACAAUCUGCGGUCGUUAUGUAUUUUUUCAGUCUCAUUUUAAGAUUAAGGUCCAUUGUCAUUUUAUUAAGGAUAAUGAUAUCUGACAUAGUUAUCAUGUUUAGAACCUGAGAACAAUGAUUGUCGUGGUCGUGAAGAUUUUCUUCAUUUUAAUUUGCUGCCCACAGAUAUGUUGUGAUAAGAAAUCCAUACAUUUUGCCCAAAGAUCAUCUGCAUCUGCUGAUGAAUGGUGUUUUUUAUGAACUUUCAUAAGUUUUAUUAGGACAUCUAAAUGCCUUGGCCUUGAGAAAAUUAGAACAUGGCAGCUAGCCUGCAUUCCUAUAAAGCCUUUGUAAUUAAAGUUGUAGUCCUGCAUCAGUUGGCCA